AUGCACGAUGUCCUGAUACAAAAUACGUUAUUAGAUAUAAUGUAACUUUACAAAUCCUGUUACUAAAACGAAGAGUUUGGACAUAAAUAUUCUAUUGGCAUUGAUUCUAUUUAGAUAUUAAACAUUCUACAUUUGUAUAAAAAGAUGGACAAUAUUUUGAAAUUAAUCAUUUUCAUCUUGGUCGUAAAUCCUUGUGUUGCAGAGCAAGGAUGUCAACCCGAGAUGACAAGUCCAUCUUCAAAUGUUACAGUCAUAGAAGGCGACACCGCAAUCUUACCUUGUCCAAUACAGAAACUGUGAGGUCACAGGGUUGUUUGGACGGACCAGGACACUCGAUGACCGUCGAAUAAUUGAUGAUGCUAGAAUCAGUAUCGAAAGACCAUCUGCAGUAGAUUGGAACUUGAGGAUUGUAAACACAAUGUCUUACGAUGAAGGACAAUAUGCAUGUUUGGUCAAUACAAAUCCUGUUCAGCAAACAACGGUUAUCUUAACAGUACAACAUACGAAUUUAUAAAGAUAGUAAUUCAACGGCAGAACAAAUCUGGUGGUAUUUUUGAAACAGAUACAGAAACAACCCUGUACAAGACCGACUAUGAGCAGAAACAAUUGGUCUGUAAAGAAAAUACUUCAAGAUCAAACUUAAUUUACAAUGACAACACUGACAUAACCACUGAAUUAUUGUUGAAACUUUUCCAAAGAGUAUUACACGCCGCUUCUACACACAAAAAAACUGAGUAAACUAUGUAAAUCAUUCCCUGUCUUAUGCAUAUUAUAUAUAUUGACUGCUUCGUCAAAGAAACAUUGUAUUAUAAAAGGAAACUAUCAGUAAUCCAGGUCAUUUGUAUCAAAUAAAUUAGAUAAUAAUAAAAAAUAUGAUAGCAGUACUCGG